rnacentral:rRNA from 1 species
AUUGAACGCUGGCGGCAGGCCUAACACAUGCAAGUCGAGCGGUAGAGAGAAGCUUGCUUCUCUUGAGAGCGGCGGACGGGUGAGUAAUGCCUAGGAAUCUGCCUGGUAGUGGGGGAUAACGUUCGGAAACGGACGCUAAUACCGCAUACGUCCUACGGGAGAAAGCAGGGGACCUUCGGGCCUUGCGCUAUCAGAUGAGCCUAGGUCGGAUUAGCUAGUUGGUGGGGUAAUGGCUCACCAUGGCGACGAUCCGUAACUGGUCUGAGAGGAUGAUCAGUCACACUGGAACUGAGACACGGUCCAGACUCCUACGGGAGGCAGCAGUGGGGAAUAUUGGACAAUGGGCGAAAGCCUGAUCCAGCCAUGCCGCGUGUGUGAAGAAGGUCUUCGGAUUGUAAAGCACUUUAAGUUGGGAGGAAGGGCAGUAAAUUAAUACUUUGCUGUUUUGACGUUACCGACAGAAUAAGCACCGGCUAACUCUGUG